rnacentral:snRNA from 2 species
UUCUUCAACAGCACAUAUUCCUUAAAACUGAAAUGAAAUAGAGAAGAUUACCAUGGCCUCUGUAUAAAAAUAAUUGAAUUCAUGAAGUAUGCCAUUCUUUU